GAUGAACGCUGGCGGCGUGCCUAAUACAUGCAAGUCGAGCGAACAGAUUAGGAGCUUGCUCCUCUGACGUUAGCGGCGGACGGGUGAGUAACACGUGGAUAACCUACCUAUAAGACUGGGAUAACUUCGGGAAACCGGAGCUAAUACCGGAUAAUAUAUUGAACCGCAUGGUUCAAUAGUGAAAGACGGUUUUGCUGUCACUUAUAGAUGUAUCCGCGCCGCAUUAGCUAGUUGGUAAGGUAACGGCUUACCAAGGCAACGAUGCGUAGCCGACCUGAGAGGGUGAUCGGCCACACUGGAACUGAGACACGGUCCAGACUCCUACGGGAGGCAGCAGUAGGGAAUCUUCCGCAAUGGGCGAAAGCCUGACGGAGCAACGCCGCGUGAGUGAUGAAGGUCUUCGGAUCGUAAAACUCUGUUAUUAGGGAAGAACAAAUGUGUAAGUAACUAUGCACGUCUUGACGGUACCUAAUCAGAAAGCCACGGCUAACUACGUG
rnacentral:rRNA from 1 species